AAGGAAUAUUGGUCAAUGGACGAAAGUCUGAACCAGCCAUCCCGCGUGCAGGAUGAAUGCCCUAUGGGUUGUAAACUGCUUUUAUAUGAGAAGAAACGCUUGGAUUUAUCCGAGCCUGACGGUAUCUUAUGAAUAAGCACCGGCUAACUCCGUGCCAGCAGCCGCGGUAAUACGGAGGGUGCAAGCGUUAUCCGGAAUCACUGGGUUUAAAGGGUGCGUAGGCGGUCAUGUAAGUCAGAGGUGAAAGCCCGGCGCUUAACGUCGGAAUUGCCUUUGAUACUGCAUGACUUGAAUCAGGUUGAGGUGGGCGGAAUGUGACAUGUAGCGGUGAAAUGCAUAGAUAUGUCAUAGAACACCAAUUGCGAAGGCAGCUCACUGGCCCUGAAGUGACGCUGAGGCACGAAAGCGUGGGGAUCAAAC
rnacentral:rRNA from 1 species